AGCCCUUAAUCAUACAAUCACUAGGAUCCAGAUCUCAGAGCAUGGAGAUAACAAAAACAGACACUAGAAGUAAAAUUAAAGCUAAGGAAUAUUGUAGAACAUUAUUUGCCUAUGAAGGUGCUAAUGAAGAUGAACUUACUUUUAAAGAGGGAGAAAUGAUCCAUUUGAUAAGUAAGGAGACUGGAGAAGCUAGCUGGUGGAAGGGUGAACUUAAUGGUAAAGAAGCAGUAUUUCCAGACAAUUUUUCUGUUCAGAUAAAUGAACUGGGU